AAAUUAGUUUUCUACUUUACUUAUGUGUAUGUUUAUCUGCUUUUAUUUUAAUAGUUUUCAUUUUGGUUCUGUUUUGAUUUAUUUACAGACAUCCCGGUGGCGAAUUUCAAGUUUUAGGAGGGGCACGGGUAGCCGCCAAAGGGAGCUGAAGCCACUGAGGAGAAUGAAGAAAUUGCCAAGGAGGAAAAAGACAGAAGGGCAAUCUAUUGGGUGUGUGUUGGGGGCUGAGACAACGUCUAGAGAUUGAUGUUUUUACUGCAUGUAGGAGACACAAGGUAAAAAAGAACAGCUUUAUAUUUCCAUCUGCCUUACCUCAGUAUGCCGGUGCUGACAUGACAUGCCACACACUUUGGCGCCCAUCUUGAAACUCCUGUACAAGAAAAGAAAGGGCUAAGGAACAUCGCUGUGGAACAUUGUCCCCUAACUAAACCGUGGAUUUGUGGGCAAUCCGGCCUAAACGCUAGAAGUACAGAAGCAGAAGGCAGUUUCCAGAGAUAAUUGCGGAGCCAAUCAUGUGUUUUACGUACAGAAUUCUACAGGAGUGUUCGUGUGGGAAGUGUUCAGCAAGGGCAAGAUACAAUCUGAACAUUUUUUCAACUCCGUGGCUGUGGAUAAAAUCUCAGCUGGACGGAGGCUCUUCAAAACCAAGAAGUCUUCCGAAAGCGUGUACAUGCUAAUGAACAACUGCUGGUAAGAGGUACGAGGGAUAAGAUUUAUGUACAACUUUAACAUAAAGAAAAAAACAGUUGGAUAUUCUGGUCCAAUAUAGAAAACUACUGUCAGAAUGAUUAUAUCUAUAUUCUAAUAUCUAUGCCUAUGCGAUUACAA